GUUGGUGUCUCUGGCUUGACUUAAUCUCUUGCAAUGCACCAAAAGCUCCCUCUUUAAAUAGUUCCAGUUGACCAUCACUGCUGAAGUGGCCUUUGGAGAUCUCUGGAAAGCUGCACUGGACAACACUUUACUGGAGAAGAAUAACCAUAUCUGGUGUUAUUUUCCAGCAGAAUUCGUUUUGUUGAGGACACAAAACAAAAGCCUUUCUGUCACUGGACAUGCCAUUCGCCUGUGCUGCAGCCAGCCUUUGGCCUUCCAGAUUUGCUGAGUGUGCUCCAAGGGACUGCAGCAGUGCUUUGCUGCUAACUCUUGCCCUGCUUCCCGGAGAGCCAUUGUGCUGCACUGUGAGCAGGCAGGAUACUCGCCCCAGAGUGAGCAGCGAUGGAGGGACUGACACCGAAACCGCUGGAGACGUUACAGCAUCAUUCCCACAAGCAGCCUUUCAUUGGCAUCUGUGUCCCACAUUCUGCCCUCUCCCUUUCUGGUACCUGAGACUUCAGGUGCAUUAA
rnacentral:lncRNA from 1 species